AACCUGGAUUCCUGCUUCCUGCCCAGGUGGAGGCUGGACAUGGAAUUCAGCUAAGCACGUCAAGCAGUAUCUGAAGCUCAGCAGAAGUUAACAAGACUCAAGAAAAGAUCAAGACUUUCAGGUUUGCCACCACAUCUGCACUUUGAUGAAGAAGGCACCUCAAAAUCUGGAGAAGGGAACCAGCCUGGAGGUCUGAAAGACUGCUCCAGUCACCCAUCCAAGGUACUGAGAGUGCAGGCGGAAAGGGAGCAGCAAUGAGAGAGGCAGAAGGCAGAAAUGAUGGAGCUGGCACUGAAAUCAGCUUGUCUCCCUCGACUACCUGGGCUGCAAACCUGCAUUUGAAAACUGCUACAUCAGGGCUCCUGCUCUCCUUCAGCCUCCUCCACUCAUCUCUACCUCACUGUGGAAGAGGAGACUGAGUAGGCAGCCAGUCCCUGUCCCAGGAAUGCAAAAGGCAAACACACCAGAACUGGAGGCAGGGAUUAACAGCUGAAGAAGGUCCCAGAGCUUUCCAUUCUUCCUUGAAAGGAAGCUGGAGGAGAUUGUUGCUGCUGGAAGAACAUGACCCUUGGAGCACAGCUAAUAUUUUUUUUAUGUGGUGGGACAGAAAAAUCCCACUGUGAGGUCACAUGAGUGCCAGAGUGGCCCCAUAAAAGAGAACACGGUAAGAUCAAGAAUGAGCUUAACUACCCCUCAGCAGCACUGAGUUUCUGGAUCAGCUCAUAUUGGAUCAAAUAUUUUAUCAUUGCACCUUAAAUUUGCCUGCUGCUUCCUUCCCAAAGCUGGUAAAAAUGCAGAUUUGAUCACAGAAGGCUAAAACUGCUUAGGUGAGACCUGUCUGUGCUGAAAAUCCGCUCUCUUUCUACUUCCUGAUGCAAUGUGUUCAGCCCUUUGGAUUACUACUUUUAGGAGCAAUUGUCCCAAAGAUUAUUAAAUAAAACUUCUUGUAAGUCUCA
rnacentral:lncRNA from 1 species